AUUUUAAUACUUUGUUUUAUCAGGGUAAUUUCCAGAAGUACGUGUCUACUCUUCAUGGAGGACACGGGCUUCUGCAUGGAGUUUUAAAAUUUGUUGUGAUCCCAUUGUGACUUGAGCUGCUGGGCUGCAUCGCAACGGAAUGUUCACCUUUUGUCUUAUGUCAAUGAGCUGUGGGACAGUUGAGCAUACUGAAAAGGUCCUCCUGAGCAGGGGUUUCUCAUUGGCUGAUCCGACCUUCCUAGACUGAGGAGAAUCCACCAAUUGAAUAGCAGUAUUUAAGAUCUCUUUUUGUACUAAAUUGUAAUAAAUUUGAAAUACAUUUA